AUGGGAUUGCGGUUACACGAGGUCCUACAUGAAAUCAAUACCGCUAAGGAAGGGGUGUUCAUGCUUAAAAUAGAUUUCGAGAAGGUGUAUGACCGAGUGCGGUGGGAAUUUCUGGAGGAGGUCCUUAAGGCAAAAGGCUUUGACCCACUCUGGAUUAGCUGGAUGCGGAAACUAGUACAAGGGGGACAUACGGCAGUUAAUAUUAAUGGCGAGGUAGGGGCAUUCUUCAGAAAUAAGAGAGGAGUCCGACAAGGGGAUCCUAUAUACCCGCUUUUGUUUAACAUCUUGGCAGAUGCACUUGCAUCAAUUCUCGACCGUGCCAAGGCGGCGGGGUAUAUAUCUGAGGUGGCUCAGGGCAUUAUCCCUGAAAGAAUAUGA
rnacentral:rRNA from 1 species